rnacentral:rRNA from 1 species
CCUACGGGAGGCUGCAGUGGGGAAUAUUGCACAAUGGGGGAAACCCUGAUGCAGCAACGCCGCGUGAGUGAAGAAGGUCUUCGGAUCGUAAAACUCUGUUAGCAGGGAAGAGCAAGGACGGUAGCUGCAGAGGACGUCAUGGCUAACUAUGUGCCUGAAGCCGCGGCAAUACGUAGGUGGGAAGCGUUGUUCGGAAUAACUGGGCGUAAGGGAUGCGUAGGCGGUUAAAGAAGUUACAUGUUAAAUAUAUAGGUUUAACCGUUAGGAAGCAUAUAAAACUGGUUAACUAGAGUGCAGGAGAGGUAAGUGGAAUUCCAAGUGUAGCGGUGAAAUGCGUAGAGAUAAGGAGGAACACCAGUGGCGAAGGCGACUUACUGGACUGUAACUGACGCUGAGGCAUGAGAGCAUGGGGAGCAAACAGGAUUAGAUACCCCGGUAGUC